GUGGAUAGUUACUUGAGAGAGAGUCGAAGCGGGAGAUGGGGAUAGUUCCCAUAUUAAGGGCUUCGAUUUCUCGGUCUCUCCCAAUCCAUGUUCCAAAUAUAUCACUAUCAAAUCCGAAUUCAAUUCCUAGGAAAAACGAGUUGUUGUGCAGCUUCAUCCGAAACCAAAACAAUUCGGCGGUGAACUAUUUUUCUCAGUUUCUUCCUUUUCACUAAUUUAUUGAAAAUUGCAAAAAGAAAAACGCAAUAGUAAUGUAGGCAGUUAAGCCUGAACGGGAGCUCUCAAAAUUAGCUCCUUCAAAGAGAGCCAACUGGUAAGUGUUACCAGCACCUUAAAAAGGUUGAGAGAGGUGGAGAUGAUGCAUUCUUUGUUCACGACUACAAUGGCGGAGUUGUUGCUGUUGCUGGCGGUGUCUCUGGGUAUGAAACCGUACAUAAGUAUGUUACUAUUCCUUUUUAUCAUGCAUUUUUAUCACCCUAAAAUUCUUGGCAUGAAGCUCACUGCUGAAACUUCUUAUAUUACUGAUACUAAGACGAGUUUUGUUACCUCAACACCACCAGUGAGUUUCUUUGUUUGGCUGGUGGAAAACUUGAUGAUAUUACUGUGAUUUUUGGUCAGGUUGUGCGCUCGCAACAUAUAUUCUUCCCUUGACUGAGGAUCAAACUGGUGAACCUCGUAGAGAACAGGAAAAAACACUCGAAUCAUAGUUACGAAGUUCUUAUUUAUUCUUGGCUUCUUGGUUUUCUUGUAAAGUUCGAGGAUCCUGUAAUGACACCUAGGAAAUUAAAAGCGUCCACAUUUAAAUA